rfam:Asian citrus Psyllid, Diaphorina citri - Florida Strain, whole genome shotgun sequence.
GCUCCCAUGGUGUAAUGGUCACUGCGCUCUCCUUGCACGCGGGAGACCCGGGUUCGAUUCCCGGUGGGGUCA